GAGUAAGAUUUGGGAAACUACCUGAUAGAGGGGGACAACAGUUGGAAACGACUGCUAAUACCGCAUACAGCCUUAGGGUGAAAGAAGCAAUUCGCUAUCAGAUGUGCCCAAACGGGAUUAGCUAGUAGGUGAGGUAAAGGCUCACCUAGGCGACGAUCUCUAGCUGGUCUGAGAGGAUGAUCAGCCACAUUGGGACUGAGACACGGCCCAGACUCCUACGGGAGGCAGCAGUAGGGAAUAUUGCACAAUGGAGGAAACUCUGAUGCAGCCAUGCCGCGUGUGUGAAGAAGGCCUUCGGGUUGUAAAGCACUUUCGGAGGGGAGGAA
rnacentral:rRNA from 1 species